GCAUCGGUGUCUCAGUGGUAGAAUGCUCGCCUGCCACACGGGCGGCCCGGGUUCGAUUCCCGGUCGAUGCU
rnacentral:tRNA from 1 species